CUGGAGACAGAGUCUGAGGAGAGCUGGACUUGGUUUUUGCAUAAUCUCCACUGGGCUAUUGCACAUCCCAAUGGGUUGGUCAUUCAUACAGAUGCCUGCAAAGGUUUAGAAGUGGCCAUGGAUAAUGUGUUCCCUGGAGUAGAGCAUAGGGAAUGCAUGCGUCACCUUGCUGCAAAUUUCAUGAAGAAAUUCAAAGGAAAGGUGUAUACCGACAAUUUAUGGCCAGCAUCUUUGACAUGCAGCGUGAAGAAGCACAACUACCACUUGAGGCAGUUAUACAUGAAUACCAAAGUGAAAGAAUACUUGGAAACACACCACUUCAAGUUAUGGGCCAGAAGCCAAUUCAGUGAAGUGAGUAAAGUUGACUAUGUGCACAAUAAUUCAGCAGAGUCUUUCAACUCAACGAUCCGGAAA
rnacentral:rRNA from 1 species